UCCUGGCUCAGAUUGAACGCUGGCGGCAUGCCUUACACAUGCAAGUCGAACGGCAGCGGGCCUUCGGGUGCCGGCGAGUGGCGAACGGGUGAGUAAUGCAUCGGAACGUGCCAUUGAGUGGGGGAUAACGUAGCGAAAGUUACGCUAAUACCGCGUAUUCUGUGAGCAGGAAAGCAGGGGACCGCAAGGCCUUGCGCUCUUUGAGCGGCCGAUGUCAGAUUAGCUAGUUGGUGAGGUAAAGGCUUACCAAGGCGACGAUCUGUAGCGGGCCUGAGAGGAUGAUCCGCCACACUGGAACUGAGACACGGUCCAGACUCCUACGGGAGGCAGCAGUGGGGAAUUUUGGACAAUGGGCGCAAGCCUGAUCCAGCCAUGCCGCGUGAGUGAAGAAGGCCUUCGGGUUGUAAAGCUCUUUCGGCCGGGAAGAAAUCGCAUGGGUUAAUACCCUGUGUGGAUGACGGUACCGGAAUAAGAAGCACCGGCUAACUACGUG
rnacentral:rRNA from 1 species